rnacentral:rRNA from 1 species
GACGAACGCUGGCGGCGUGCUUAACACAUGCAAGUCGAACGGACAGGCCCUGCUUUUGCGGGGUGCUCGAGUGGCGAACGGGUGAGUAACACGUGAGUAUCCUGCCCUUGACUUUGGGAUAACUUCAGGAAACUGGGGCUAAUACCGGAUAGGAGCUCCUGCUGCAUGGUGGGGGUUGGAAAGUUUCGGCGGUUGGGGAUGGAAUAGCGGCUUAUCAGCUUGUUGGUGGGGUAGUGGCUUACCAAGGCUUUGACGGGUAGCCGGCCUGAGAGGGUGACCGGCCACAUUGGGACUGAGAUACGGACCAGACUCCAACGGGAGGCAGCAGUGGGGAAUAUUGCACAAUGGGCGGAAGCCUGAUGCAGCAACGCCGCGUGCGGAAUGACGGCCUUCGGGUUGUAAACCGCUUUCGCCUGUGACAAAGCGUGAGUGACGGUAAUGGGUAAAGAAGCACCGGCUAACUACGUG